GGGCGAAACUCUCAUGAACAACGGCACUUGUUUGUCCCUCUCGGAACACAUGGUACACGUCUCUGCUCUACUGGUCCUCGUCUGCCUACCCAAACCCACCCACUCGCUCCACCUCCACCCUCACCAUUGGCUGUGCUGCCACCAUCUCAAGCAUGCUCUACUUUGUGGCUCAGUGGUUAAGCGCUUGACUGCUAAACAAAAGGACAUCUCAAAGGACUUCUGCUCCUGUGGAGCAAACUCUGGUAAUAUUGUUUUGAGAACAAGAAAUUAUACUGGUGGAUGGAUUUCUGUGCUUCAAGUAGCAUCUCUGUGCUGAAGCCUAAGGUAAGGGGAGGUGCUGAGACUGCCUCGAUGUGGACCAGCCCAGUGAUGCUUCCCUCUGGAAUGCGACAUCUUAGCCGUGGCAGAUGCCUCUAAUGUGGGAAGACACCAGCUCAACUUUCUGCCACAGCCCUAUGGGAAUGGCCUGUUCCCAGAACUGAGGCUCUGGAAUCUGGCAGUGGUGGAGAGAACCAUCAGUCUUCAACAUGGCUCGUCUGCUUGAGUUAACUUCAAGCUACAUGGGAACAGCAGGGCUUCCAGGUGGUUAAAUGUGCUCAAGGGGUGAGUCAGGAGGUCUCUUCAGAUAAUAAACUCCUAAGGACAUAUGAAGCUUCCUGAUGAUUCAAAAUAGUUUUAUUUUGAGCACCCAAGGCAUCCCUCACAUUGGCCUGAAGACUUAUGCCACCAUGCACUUGAGUUCACGAAGGUCAAUGUACUUCCCGUGACGUGGCAGAAUGCAUCCUGCUCUCUGUAGCCACCAUGUCAUCAGAGUUUUCCUGAUUGCUCAGCCCGGAGAUGACUGCUUUUCCUGCUUCAGGGUUCACUUAUGAAGAUCAGGAGUGUCAACAAUUAGGAAAAGAGCCUCCUUUUUAAUUGAUACAUGCUUAAAAUGAGUAAUUCAAACAACGUGGAAAAGAAUAAAUCAGAAAGUGAUAUACUAUACAUCUCACUACCCAGAAGGACAUUAUCAUUUAAUCAAAAACCAGUUGCCAUUGAGUCAAUUCCAACUCAUGGCGACCCCAUGUGCACAGAGUAGAACUGUGCUCCACAGUGUUUUCAAGGCCGUAAUCUUUCAGAGGUAGAUUGCCAGGUUAGGAGCCUAGCACGUUAUCUAUUUGCACCACCAGGGGACUCCUAUCAUUUAACAGGUGACAGAAAUGUGGAGCUUGUAAGUAGUGAUACCCAAGGCACAAAAGGCCCUGAUUGCCUUCAGAGUGGUCACAUUUGAUUGGCUUAACUUGCUCUCAGAAGCCUACAGAAAUCACUACCACACAGAAUGUCCAGGGGAUGUGAACUUUGCCUUUUACUAAUGUUUAAGCCACAGUCUAGGAAAUAAAAUGCUAUUAAAAGAAAAACAGAGAGGAAAAAAACCAUCACCCACUCAUCCAUU